AGGUUCUUCCGCCCCGAGCUGGCCUGGCGCCUCCCGGCCGCCAUAAGCAGAGGCUGGGGAGCGUGGCCCCGAGUGCUCACCUGGGGUCGAGGAGUACCGAGGGGCUUAGGCCGGGCUCCGGGUCAUUCGUUCGUCCUCUCAUUCAUUCAUUCCUUGAGCCGACUCUGGAAUUGAGAUGGGUUCGGUGGAUCCUAGAAGGAUUGUGCAGAUGCAGGAGUUGACCAAGUGGAAUUGCUGUAAACGUUGGCCAGCAAGAAGCAGCGUCACUUGUAGAAUCUUGGGCCUUUCUCCUGACCCCUGCAGGGAUUCGGAGACCGAGCAGCCACAGGAAGCUAAUACACAGCCGCCAGGUUCUUGCCUGGAAGCCACCCAAUGCAGUAAGAGACCCACUCGUCCACAGAAGUAGAUUUCGAAGGAUCAUCUGCCCUGCAGCUGUCAAAGAACUUAACUGGAGGUGGAGUCAGCCUCGAGGCCUUCCUCAGAAGGGGUUGGAGGGCUUGCCGUCCUGCAGAGUCAUGUCCUCAGGGAGGUCCUCUCUUCAUUCCAGUUUCUGGGGCUGGAUGCCGGCGUCUUCCAGCACCGGCCACAGAGCGUCGUGCACCUGAAGACAAGAAUCAGAGGGAGUUUUCCUCCGCCUCCUGCUUCAGGCGCUGCCACUUGCGCUGCGCUUCUGGGGCUAAACGCCGGCUUUCUGGCGCGUGACCUACACCUCGGUGCUGUGCUUGGCCUGUGAACCAAGAAGAUGUGUUCUGCCCUACAGAAGCUGGUGACCCAGAGGAAGAAGAGACAAAUCUGGAUCGACCUUGCGUCCUUUCUCUGCUUUCCAAACAAAUCCGAAUGUUCGGACAUGAACUUGACAGUGUUCAUCUCACCGGUGCCCUGGAGACAGUAAGUCAGAUGUGUACAUAUCUUUUCGGUCUAUGCCGUCUGUCCUGUUACCUAUUUUUACUCUUGGAUACCUUUAAAAAGAAACUUUAAACUUUGAAACAAACCCCAGUGCUCUUGGUCUUUGGGUUGUAUACCUUUUGACAGCCUUCAAUGCAGAACAGUACAGCUCUGCCCAGACUGUUUCUGUGGUACACGGCAGACCCAGCCAGGGUGAGCCAAGCCAGCAGGUGUUUGUUUAACACUUAGUAUUUUGAUUUACCUAAGGUAAGCACUUCUCCUACUUCUUCCGCUGUGUUACUUGUUCUAAUUUAGCUUCUUUUCCUGUGCUAUUAUUGCUAACUAGAGCCAGUUAAAGAAUGGAAAGAGAGCUAACAAGGGGUUUGUAGGAUGGUAAGUAGAAUUUUCUUGCUCGGCAUUUUGGCUCACGUACCAUUCUUUGAAAACCUGGGUAUCUAGGACUCAGGCAUCGUCACUAAACUUAUUUACCACGGAAUUCUUUAUUCUCUCAUUUACAACCGCCUUGAAGAAUACUUGAGAAUGUUAGACUUAUCCAAAUGUGAAGUGCACUGAAACUCAGCGUAACCCUUUGACUCUGUAAAAUGAAGCCCAGGUGUAUAGAUUAAUGUCCAGAAGAGAGUUUUUGAAGGAGUGGCCCUUUCAAAUAAUUCUUAUUAGCUAGGACAACAUUUAAAAACUCCUGUGUUAAGCCCCUCAUAUAAUGCUUUGUGCUUUGACAGGCUUCUCUAACUCCCCUGGACAGAGCGAGUUGUUUUUCCAAGUCUCCUCUGCCCUAUGUACUGUAUUUAUCUAUUUUAUUUACUUUUAAAUUCUCUUCUUGCCUACGAUAGUGACUAGGACGUAAUAGGUGACCAGAAAAACGCUUGUUGAAUUGAACUGAGGAAGAGCCUUCCUUAUUCUGAUACUGUGCCAAAACAAUCUACACUGAGUAUUAUAAUGAGUGGUGAAAUAUUUAAAAGCUUUCCUUUGAGAUUGGGACCUAAACAAGCAUGUCCGCUAUCAUCACUUCUUUUUAAUGUCCCAUUGCAUGUCCUAGACAGUUCAAUAAAGGAAGGAAAAGAAAUUUUAAUAUAUGAGGAUAGAACAGGAAGAAAGAUGUAUAUGUAAAUGGUUUGACUCCACAUAAAGCCGAAGAAAUAAUUACUUUACUGGAUCCCAGAUAAACCAGAAAGUAGGGAUUUUUUUUUUUUUUUUNCAGAUUCUGACUUAGAAAGUAAGACUCAGUCAUAAGCCAAAAUCGGCCUGUACCAGCUCCUGGGAGCAGAUUGAUCACAUUUCUUUUUAACUCUGGGUUUCUUGUCCUCAAUCACUUCAGUAGCUUGAAAUCGUCAGCCAUGCUGGGAGUGUUUACAUCACAGAAACUGGCCCAAACCGCAGGUCAGUACUGAGGCCCUCGCCUACCAAGGCUGGUCACUAAACAUUGACUAACACACUACUGGGCAGACAGAUAAUGAGAUGAAACGUUCUGACAGCUUCAUUGAAAGGGCAAAGAAACUAUUGACAUGAUGUCUUAAAAUUGGGGGUUUUGUUUUAAAUAGGAAAACAGGUACUUGAAGUUAGAGAAGAAUCUCCGUUUAGACUUAGAUGUUGAGUUCCAGACAUGUGGAAUGACCGCCAUCCAAUUUAAUUUAAAAAAAAAAAAAAAAGGAAUUUCAUUGUUUUUGGAUCCAGUGAAAGGGAGGUUUUUUUAAAAAAAUUGAUUUUUGUUUUAAAGUUCAAUAAAAUUUUAUUAAUUUAAUUAGUUCCUAUCAAUUUUUAAAUAAGCAGUGGCUUAGAUUAAAUUUGCACUCUUGCUCUCUCACGCGCACUCUCUCCUUCUCUCCCUCCCCGCCCCCCUUAUUUAACCCAAACUCCUUGAGCACAUUAAUGGGUCUGGUCUGUGGUUUUACAGUUGGAGCGGCAUUGGUGAUUGUAAAUCAAGGCAAUGUUUUGGACCAGGAUUUCGUGGUGUUGUUUCUGUUAGGAUUUUGAGGGUUUUCCAUAAGGGUAUAUGUUAUGGGAAAAGCACAUACAAACCGGGAAAAGGAAGUUUGCUGGAAGCCGGAAGGGGGUUGUGUUGAUGGUGGCUGUUCCUUUAAGACAAUCACCCUGGGUAUCAUGAUCAGAAAGGGGAUUCAAGCGUGGACGUGGUAUGAGCAGGCAUCCGUAGGAUGGUCUGAGUUCACCUUCCAAGUGCGUGCGGGCUUGGGGGGAGCUGGAGGAGGAAGGGGAUCUUGCAGUGUGGUCGGAAGCGUGCCAGCUCAUGGAGUUCGCUGGUGGUGCCGCGGGUUGAGGAUCCUGCAUUGUCACUGCUGCGGCUUGAGUCACAGCUGUGGCACAGGUGUGCAUGCUGUGGGUGCAACCAAAAAAAAAAAAAA
rnacentral:lncRNA from 1 species